rnacentral:rRNA from 1 species
AUGGGCGUGCGCGGCGGUUUCUGGAAGGCGCUGCAGCCGUACGCGCGGCAGGAGGGCAUGGGGUAUCUCCGCGGCCGCCGCGUCGCCGUCGACCUCUCCUCGUGGAUCGUCUCCGCCAUGAGCACCAAGUCGCCCACCCGCCGCAACAUCUUCUUCCGCACGCUCUCCCUCUUCUCCAAGGUGGGGGCGUUCCCGGUGUUCGUGGUGGACGGCAUGCCGUCGCCGCUCAAGGCCAAGGCCACAAGUGAGGCCUUCACGCGAUGUGUCCACGAGUGUGUGCAACUGCUUGGGCAUAUGAGAAUGCCGAUACUCCGGGCAAAGGGCGAGGCCGAAGCACUGUGCGCUCAGUUGAAUCGUGAGGGCAAGGUGGACGCCUGCAUUACCUCUGACAGUGACGCCUUCCUCUGCGGAGCCACCACGGUGAUCAAAUGCUACAACAUAGCCGACAUCCAGGAUGGCAGUGGGUUGAGUAGGAAACGAAUGAUCGCCAUGGCGCUUGUUAUUGGCAGUGACUAUGAUCUGCAGGGGGUGCCCGGUGUGGGUCUUCAGACCGCACUUGCGUUUGCGCGUGAUCUGAAUUGGGGAUUCAAUGUCUGCAAAAGAUUAGCUGCUCACCCAAAUUUCCCAAAUGGGGAGAUAAUUAAACUAUAUCUAUGUGAUGACAAUCUGGAUACAGAAUGGGAUGUUCCAUCGCUUGUGUGGAAUAGGCAGCCUAAUGUUGAGGCUUUGGUCGACAUGUUAUCGUAUGGGAAGUGGGGGAAAUCAGAUAUCCGACGCCACAUGCUGCCGAUGCUAUCAACCAUUUAUUUACGCGAGAUGGCGUCUCCAUCCAAUUCCAAAUCACUGCUUCUUCUUGAUGAUGACCAGUAUGAAUUCCAUUCAGUUAAACGGAUCAAGAUAAUACAUGGCCAACCUUAUUACUUGGUCCAAUGGAAGAGCCAUGCUGACGAUCGUAUGUUUGUACAAACUGAUGAAGAUGUCCAGCUUGUGGAUGAGGCAUUUCCUAAUGAAGCCCGACGGCAUAAGUGGCUCAAAGGACGAGAGAAAUCAGGAGCAAACAGGAAUCGGUUGCUGGUGCCGAAAGAAGAGAAAUCAAGAUCCAAGCUUAACAUACUAGCAAACAACAUGUCCAAGACACGGAAAGGUGCAAGACCCAGACCCAGCUGGGUGCAGCUUUGCAUCAAGGAUUUCUACUGCUCGAAGAAGCCUCAUGUAGAAAUGGGCCAGACGUCGACAAGAAAAUCCUCACCCGUGUCUCAGCGACGCAACUUGAUGUUGGGCUGA